GCCAGGGAGGGAGAGAGAAACUAUCUGCCUUGCUUGGAGGGAGGCCCUUCCCUGGUCUCCAAGGAAAAAGAAAACCUGGCUGGCUCAGCACUGCCUGAAAUGUGAUUGUUGCACCCGAGUCAAGGGCCCCUGGUGUACACAGCUCCAGUGACAUCAAGUGAUACAACUCCCUCCUUCAGUGCCCAACUGGUAAUUUCUAUGGAAAUUAAAACAAAAGCAAACUCAUAUUACUCAGAUGCAAAAUUGGAUGGAGAAAGACCUGGCAAAGGUGAAAUACUGACCGCUUUCCUAUCAUUGCUAGUCAGCA